rnacentral:rRNA from 1 species
CCUACGGGAGGCAGCAGUGAGGAAUAUUGGUCAAUGGGCGGAAGCCUGAACCAGCCAAGUCGCGUGAGGGAUGAAGGUUCUAUGGAUUGUAAACUUCUUUUAUAAGGGAAUAAAGUGUGGGACGUGUCCUAUUUUGUAUGUACCUUAUGAAUAAGGAUCGGCUAACUCCGUGCCAGCAGCCGCGGUAAUACGGAGGAUCCGAGCGUUAUCCGGAUUUAUUGGGUUUAAAGGGUGCGUAGGCGGCCUUUUAAGUCAGCGGGGAAAGUCUGUGGCUCAACCAUAGAAUUGCCGUUGAAACUGGGGGGCUUGAGUACAUUUGAGGCAGGCGGAAUUCGUGGUGUAGCGGUGAAAUGCUUAGAUAUCACGCAGAACCCCGAUUGCGAAGGCAGCCUGCCAGGCCAUAACUGACGCUGGUGCACGAAAGCGUGGGGAUCAAACAGGAUUAGAUACCCGUGUAGUC